UUUCGUUUUGUCUGUUUGGUUAACCUGUUUUACUUUGACCGAAAGGAAGAAAAAGACACCGUAGUCUAGUUGCUAGAGAACCGGCUGCUGUGACCCACGGCAGAAGUUCGAUUCCAUUAUAGGUUGCACAUCACUUGUUUGUAUUAUAAAGCGAGUUAGGAACCUACCUACCUACCGCAAAGUGCCAAGAAUGAGGCAUUAAAAAGUUCGACUUUUGUUAUUUCAAAUUAUCUUUGUAAGGUGGCGCUAGCAUUAUGGUAGCAGCCGCAUUUUGUAUUUUCUUAGUUAAAUUAGCUAGCAUUUCUGUGCUUCAGGUACCGAGUACGAAGCCACACUGAGUAUUUUUCUGCAUUGCAGCAGCGUGUGUCGCAAGAGGAUGCAGCGCCGUGACGUGUCAUAGCGGCUACCUGACAAAGCGAGGAGUGGCGCGACGGCUCAUCGGCGUCAUCGCUUGCGCCGACGCAGUCUGAGCAGCCAAGCGGACUGCGCUCUCCGCGCAGCUUCCCUCCAGAUUGCGUAACUUUUGAACCCGCCGUUACAUUGACCGUUAUUUUUGUCAGGACCAGCCGUUAAGUUCCUGACGCGUAUUCGUUCAUGAACUGCGGAGCGCCAGACUGCCUUCCACAUCUUCUUUGCUCACGCACAUACCUACGUGCAAGAGAGAAGGCGCGUGAGGGUGAAGACACCGAUCAUGUACCCUCUACAGGUGCCAAAUGGGCAGACGAAAACGCCGCCGCCCAAAGGGCCACCACGAAACUCCUGAACUCCAAGAACCCAGUAAGAAGACCUGCUGAAUUAAGGAGCUACAGCCCAGCAGCCUGUUCGAAACCAGGUUUAUCAAGGUCGAUACCUGUAAUGGACGUUACCCGGAGGCACUCAUAUUUAAUGUUGAUUGCUAGUUUGUCUAGUCGUGUU